AGAUUGGCUUUGGAGGUGGCUGCAAUGAAAUAUACGUUUUGAAGAAGUUCCCUAUGAAAUGUCUUAUAAACUGUUUCUUCUGGCCAGGUGCUCGGGCUCACACCUGUAAUCUCAGCACUUUCAGUGACCAAGGAGAAAGGAUCAGGAUCAUGGCUUCCUUGACAAUGGCACUGAUGUGACUCCAUCCAGCAUCCAUUGUUGUGAGAACUCUAUUUGGCAUAUCAUCAUUGUGGGCAUGAACAUAAUGGAGACUUUCAUAGGAUGCAAUGAUUAAUAUUCAACAUUAGUCAAAAUUUCUUCUAGUCCUACCCUUGGAGCUCUACUGGGUUGGAAAAUAUUUUCGGACAAGGACAAUCAUUUGAUGCUCACGUUCACAGUAAUCUGGCUGAUCAAGGAAGGGUUCAGAGUUGCCCAAUAAGAAGUCCUCCCAUGAGAUUUGGAAGUCCGAAAAGGAUGACUCAAUAUUCUCCAUUGGUACCUAAGACAGACACAGGGACAGACAUGAGGACUAGAGAAACACCUGAAAAGAUGCUGUAGGAAGCUGAGAGCAUCAGCACCCCCACCCCUAAGCUUCCAGACAGGACUGAGGACCAUAUGGUUAGAAAGCCCAUACUUCAGAGGAAGAUGCAUUCUGUUGCCUGAGGGAGGAUCAGAGAUUCCUGCUUCUAAUAUCAGCUUUCAUGACUACUAUAUCCUUGGCUUUGAAAGUAAACCAAUGAACAGGCCUCCCAGAUACUAUCAAGGAGCUGAAACUUACAUAUCACUGAAUCGGGACAGUGAGACAUCAGAACCUUCACCCAUUAUGAUUGCCUCACUGACCUCCUGCUUCCUGUUGACCAAAUUAUCUUCCUUACCCCUCCCUAAUUCCUGUUUUCCCACAUUUCUUCCCUGCUAUAUAAACUCCUAAUUUCAGUUGGUCAGGGAGAUACAUUUGAGAAUGGUAUCACAUCUCCUAGGCUGCAGCACCUGAUUAAAGCCUGUUCCUUGGCAAUGCUUGUUGUCUUAGUGAUUGGCUUUCUGUGGGGUAAGCUGCAGAGUCUUCACUGAAUCCCUGGCAUUUCAGUAACAAAAUUCUCUGCAACCUUCACUGCUUUGGCUUAUUGUAACCUGAAAUCAAAUUUGUCCACAACUUCUGAGAUAACUUGAUAUAAUUCUAGGAUUCAUUUUGUCCACCACUGCUUACCAGUCUGAGCUUGCCAGCUCCCAACCCUUCCUAGUGCCAAUGAACUUUCUCAAAGAGCCACAGGUAACAUUUUCCCUUUUUCAUAAAAUGCUAAUUUUCUCUUCGUUCUUCCAAUAUCUUGAAGACCACUGAGUUUUCCUGUAUGCCCCACCUGGCAAAUAUUUCUUUGCAAAUAAAACUUAAAUUUAGAGAUUCAUCUCUACAUUUUAUUUUGACUUUAGUAGUUUACUUUAAUUCUCUGUAUUAAGAC
rnacentral:lncRNA from 1 species